AGUUCCCAUAGCAAACUGCUCAGUAACACAUGAUCAACUUACCCUAUAGAGAAAAAUAACCUCGGGAAACUGAGGAUAAUGUUUCAUAAUUGAAUUGGCUUGGAAAAGUUUUUCAAUGAAAGGGAUAAAAAAAAUGGUUUUUAUCUGCUAUAGGAUAGGAUCGUGUUCGAUUAUGGUUGUUGGUGAGAUAAUGGCUCACCAAGCCGAUAAUCGAUAGGGGCCGUGAGAGCGGGAGCCCCGAGAUGGGUACUGAGACAACGACCCAGGCCUUACGAGGCGCAGCAGGCGCGGAACCUCCGCAAUACACGAAAGUGUGACGGGGUUACCCAAAGUGUUCAAUAGAACUGUGGUAGGUGAGUAAUGUCCCCUACUAGAAAGGAGAGGGCAAGGCUGGUGCCAGCCGCCGCGGUAAGACCAGCUCUUCAAGUGGUCGGGAUAAUUAUUGGGCUUAAAGUGUCCGUAGCCGGUUUAGUAAGUUCCUGGUAAAAUCGGGUAGCUUAACUAUCUGCAUGCUAGGAAUACUGCUAUACUAGAGGGCGGGAGAGGUCUGAGGUACUACAGGGGUAGGGGUGAAAUCUUAUAAUCCUUGUAGGACCACCAGUGGCGAAGGCGUCAGACUGGAACGCGCCUGACGGUGAGGGACGAAAGCCAGGGGAGCGAACCGGAUUAGAUACCCGGGUAGUCCUGGCCGUAAACGAUGCAUACUAGGUGAUGGUACGGCCAUGAGCCGUAUCAGUGCCGUAGGGAAACCGUUAAGUGUGCCGCCUGGGAAGUACGGUCGCAAGGCUAAAACUUAAAGGAAUUGGCGGGGGAGCACCGGAAUUGGCGGGGGAGCAC
rnacentral:rRNA from 1 species